ensembl:lncRNA
UUAUAGGAAGAGCGUCUUGUUGAAUCAUUGAGCUUUAUAUUAAAUAUGUACGACAGUGACCUCCUGAUGCAGUUUGUCAUCCAUCUACCUCUGCUCUGACAUCCUCAAGGAUGAAGCUAAUACUACAGCCGUGAUUGAUUGCCGUUGUCACACCUCCAGAGCUCCACGCCCCGACGGUUGUGUUUCAUGCAGCAAGAAAGAAAUCGCAUCAGUGGAAACAAUGGCAAUUCUCUGAAAUCAAACAACAACGGCAGCCGCUGUAACAUCUUGUCCUUCACCUGGUUUGGAUUUUCACGGCUCACCGCCCAACAAAUACACGGACUUCAGAGGAUAAGAUGUAAAAUCACCGCACAAUCUGGCUGUGUUUAUCACGUCACAUCAGGUGUUCUGGUCUUUUCUAGGACAAUGGAGGUGUCAGAGGAUGACAUGCAGAGAUGUGUGAUGAAUUCUUGGAAUUUGCAUUCCCCUUUAUAUCUGCGCUAUCCUUAGCAAAGAACAGCCCAGUGUAACCAUGGCAACAGCAGCAUCCUCUGAGUGAGCAUCAUUCCCUCUUUCAUCUGUAAACAUGAUGAUUGUGGUUUGUAUGUGCUCACCAUAUUGCUCAUAUUGUGCUCUGCACAGAUUGCUUUACAGAUGUUUAAGCAAAAAAUGUAAUUAUUACAAAACGUUUUCACCAUAUGUCUUUACUGAUUAUGCCAUUCUCAUGUGCUGUCAUAAAAAUAUCACUCAUUGAAAUCCUAUCACAGACUGUGCCUCUGUGCUCUUAAAGGGAUAGUUCACCCAAAAAUUGAAAUUCUGUCAUUAUUUACUCACUCACCUUUAUGUCAUUUAAACCUCUAUAAUUUUCAUUCUUAAGCAGAACACAAAAGAUGUUUAGAAAAACCUUUUAAAUCAAGUCAAAUUUAUUUGUGAUGCACUUUUCUAAAUUGUUGAUAUUGAUGUUUAUAAUUUCUUCAUUUCAUCAUGCCUAAUAGUUGCAUUAAGCAGAUGGGCGAUAUUAUAGUGGACAUUUUGUGAUGACACAAGCAGUCAAGCCACUGACAUUUGCCAUAUAGUAUAUAUUGCCCUCCGGGAGUAUACUACAUAUAUACUUAUAUAUCCAAAGAUUUAUAAUGAGCUGGAUGAUAAUAUAGUUUUGUCAAA